CAAAAUGGUGGCGCCGAGGCGGAGGCCCGCGCACCUGGGGGCGCCACAUGCCCCGCAGACCGCCGCCAGCUGGACGCGAGCCCCAGGUCCAGGCGGCCCGCACUGGUCUGCGCCAGGCCCAGCCCGCGGGGGCCGCCCACAGCCGGUGGCCCGCGUCGCCGCUCGGUGUCCGUGGGUCUGGUGCCGGCGGGGGCGCGGGGCGCGGGGCUCGGUGCGGCCGCCUCGGCCUCACCCCACGGUCCGCGCCGGGGAUAGGGAGCGCACUCACCUCAGACGCGCCCCGGGAGCCGCUGGAAGAGUCCGGGAAAGGAGGCGGAGCCGCGCGAAUGAAUGGAGCCAGCGGCUGCUCGCUGGCGACCUCCGGCCGGUCCCGGGCCGCACAGCUCGCCGCUGCCAGGGCGGGUGCGGCCGCCUCCCGCUCGCAGCGGACGCCCGGCUCCUCGUCGCGGGUCGGCCGCGGCCCACCGUGCCCUCCGACGACGUGACGCACUAGCGCCGCAGCGCCUCCAGCCUUCGCUUCCGCUCAGCGCCCGCGCCCACCGCGAAUCCCCCCGCCCGCCCGCCCGCCGGCGCGGAGCGGCCCCUCCUCGGAGCCUGGGACGCCGCCCUGCCUCCCUCCAGCCCCGGCUCUCAGGCGCCGGCCCGGCAGGUGCCGGCUUGGCCAGCCCGGGGGCGUCACGCGGCCCCCGCCUCGCCACCCGCGCCCCCUCUCUCCGCCCCGGCCGCCGUCACCCGGCAGCGCGACGCCCAGCUCAGGGCGAUGGCUUGGUAUUAAAGAGUGACCUUGGCUUAGAUAUAAAAAUAGAUGCGGUUAAGCCGCGGGGGCUACAACGCUGAUUUUGCGUAUUCCUUUAAUGCCGACCUUCGCAGGAUUCUGUUCGCAGAGCCCGGUGGAGUUCUCCAGCCCCGCGUAGGCCCUCCUGAAAUUUACCCAGAGUGGACGCGGCCAUCCCGGCCUCGGGACAGGGGUGCAGAGGGCACGGGCGACGACCGCCGGCCUCUGCCCCGCCACUUUCAUCCUAAACCUACUGCCACUUAGGUGCAUGCAAGGAAGAAUCGUGGGCUGCUUUCACAGUCUAGAGAAGUCCUAGAGCCCGGACUUUCAUCUGGAGAUGUCAGGGAAAUACCAAAUUCCUGCGCUGACCUUUUCUCUUUCACCGUUUAACCGGUACAGACUAACCCUGACCCAGAAAGACAACAGGGUUCCAUCCGGCUUUCCUCCCCUGCCUCUCCCAGCUCUAUUCUACCGUCUUAUGGCCUCUGGCGCCUUUGCUAAUUACACACUCCUACUGAAAAAAUUAGCCCUCCAGCAUUUAAAACAUGAUAAAUUGUCUUUAAGGUAAUGCGUAUUGUAGUCUAAAUAUAUUUAAUAAAUGUAUUGAGAAACAAUAUUGUAUCUAAGUAUUAACGUCAAGACUUUCUUUUACUCAUCAUCCAAGAACCAUAGCAUUAUGUUCGGCUCAUCCAGAAAAGUUGGAAAUUGCGUCUUUCAUUCCUGGGAAAUAUUUAGCAAUCACAAUACCAACUUUCACGAAUUUACUAAUGAUUAGCAAAAUUAGCAAGAUCAAAAAAUACUUCAAAGAAUGUUUGUUGAUAUAGUUAUAUUUGACCCUGAUUAAAAAAAAAAAGGCUUUCCUGCCAUAUAAGAAUCUAUUCUUUCAUUUGUAUAAUAUUUAAUUAGCCAAAAUCCUGACUAUUACACAUCAUUUACCAUUUUAAUGAAACAAUGAAUUAGAUUUAAUAGAGCAGGAAUUUUGGGUAGUUGGGUUCUACCUAUAGCCAGUGAUGAAUGAAAUUAUAUGACUUGUAUUCACAUUUCUAGAGCUAUGUGUAAGUAGGAGUCCCCAGGGUAAUCCCAAACAAUUGCCAUUUGGGGAAGCUUUGGCUACCAGACUAUGCCCUACAGAUGUUGAAGCCUCAGGCCUUAGUGUAAAGCUAACCAAUACAACUUGUUGAUAAUAUUUGAAA
rnacentral:antisense_RNA from 1 species